UGAAUUGAGAAGUCUGUCCUGCCCACUGAAUGAAGUUUUAAAGGGCCGCGGUAUUAUGACCGUGCGAAGGUAGCAUAGUCAAUAGUCUCUUAAUUGGAGGCUUGUAUGAACGGUUGGACGGGAAGAGGACUGUCUUGUUUACUAGGGUGAAUUUGACUUUUGUGUGAAAAGGCAUAAAUAGUUUGGGGGGACGAUAAGACCCUAUAAAACUUGAUAAUUUGAUUGGGUAUAUGAAUUGGGUUUGAAAAUAUGUUUAGGUGAAGUUAUUUUGCUGGGGAGGCAGGGAUAGAAUUUUGUAACUGUUUUGUAAUAUGAAUAAUUGUCAUUAGGUGGGGACCCUUAAUUUAGGUUUAAAAGUUAAAGUUACUUUAGGGAUAACAGCGUAAUUUCUCUUGAGAGUUCAUAUCGACAGGGAUAGUUGCGACCUCGAUGUUGAAUUAAAACUUCCUGCAGGAGCAGAGGUUUGUGGGGUAGGUCUGUUCGACCUUUAAAGUUUU
rnacentral:rRNA from 1 species